rfam:Photobacterium sp. 13-12 C1735, whole genome shotgun sequence.
UUCACCGUGAGGUGAAAUCUGAAGGAAGCGAAUGGCAAAACUUGGUUGCGACGAACAGAAAUCUGAUAGUAGGCCUAUGCAACUUGGGUAACCUAGCAAUAGAUAGAAUAGCCCAAUGCCUCGACGGGAAGUGUGUAUAGGUAAAUCAGGCACGACCAAGGGAAAGAACAACGU